UCGAACGGCAGCGGGGGAUAGCCUGCUAUCCUGCCGGCGAGUGGCGGACGGGUGAGUAAUGCAUGGGGAGCUGCCCAAUCGAGGGGGAUAACAACUGGAAACGGUUGCUAAUACCGCAUACGCCCUGCGGGGGAAAGGUGGGGACCUUCGGGCCUACCGCGAUUGGAUGCACCCCUGUGGGAUUAGCUAGUUGGUGAGGUAACGGCUCACCAAGGCGACGAUCUCUAGCUGGUUUGAGAGGAUGACCAGCCCCACUGGAAAUGAGACACGGUCCCGACUCCUACGGGAGGCAGCAGUGGGGAAUAUUGCACAAUGGGGGAAACCCUGAUGCAGCCCUGCCGCGUGUGUGAAGAAGGCCUUCGGGUUGUAAAGCACUUUCAGUGGGGAGGAAGGGGUGAUGACUAAUAUUCAUCAGCAUUGACGUUACCCACAGAAGAAGCACCGGCUAACUCCGUG
rnacentral:rRNA from 1 species